ensembl:lncRNA TEX41 testis expressed 41
AUCUUGAAAACGGAAAAUAAAAACAGCAGACCUAUGAAGGUCGAAGGGGAAGAAAAGCUGUAUCGAUUGUUGAGAUCUGGCGACUUGUUUAAAUUUCAUCAGCCUCACUUCUAUGAACUCUCAGAGCUGAUUACCAACUCCUACCACUGUUAACCCUCAUCCAGGAACAAGCUUAUGUCUUUAACAUUCUGAGUGGGCUUCAGCAUCCUUGCAUAUGUUCAAUUCUUAAAAACCUGUUGAAAUAAAAGAUCAGGAGACAUAGGAAGGAUGCCAGAAGAGAGCGUGGCCUCACGUGUACCAGCUCUCUGCUCUCCUUUGCCUUGGGACGUUCCAUCCCUGGAAGUUUCCCUGCCCACAUCUUUGUAGAGAGUCCAUUCUCCAAGCUUCAGUGUGUCAUCUGUGAGGACCGUGACCCACCUGGUACAUCGCCUCAGGGCAUUCAUUUCAGGCUCCUUCUAAAUGGCCAAGGAUCUUGGAAGCAGAGGGAUCUGCAGAAGUGCUUGCAACACUUUCAGCCUUAACCAGCAUCAGAGACAAAAAUCCUUUCUGGAAUGAGACAGAGUCCUGCUCUGUCACCCAGGCUGGAGUGCAGUGGCAUGAUCCUGUCUCAUUGCAACCUCUGCCUCCCGGAUUCAAGCGAUUCUCGUGCGUCAGCCUCCCAAGUAGCUGGGAUUACAGGCGUGAGCCCCUGUGCCCGCCCCCCCCACUUCUGGACCACUGAAGCACAACCACACUUUGGAGCCAGAAGAGGAGCUGAAAUGUCAAUUGGAGAGGACUUUCCUGCUCUAAAAGGUGAGGAAGACAGCACAAGUAACUUGCCAAAGAUAAGUGGCUAAUAAGUGGCAGAGCGAGGGUUUAAAGCAGGCAUGAAGGUGCUGCAGCCCAUGCACUUAGCCCCAACAUCAUGCUGCUCUCUGACUCACCAGCUAACCAAGUAAAUAAACGACAGUGAUGAGGUAAAUAAACAGGAUGAGGUAAAUAAAGAGGCUUACACAGUGCUCUAAAAGGAUGCUUUGAAGGAAGGGAAGAUCCCAACGAACCAGCCAUGAGAAGAACCCUUUACAGAGGGAAUAACAAGUGGCAAAGCUUCCCAAGUGAGGGUGGGGAAGAACCUGAUGGGUUUUGGAACUCAAAGUUUCUUCCUCUAACGUUCACCAAUUUAAUCUUUCCCUACAUAGAGUAAAUUGAGUUCCCCUGCUAUUAACAUUUGUUUUGUGGAUAAGUUAGUCUUUUUCUUUUUAAGAGUAUUAUUUAAACCAUUGAUCACUAAUUUCAUAAGCAAACCUUUGCCUUUUAAUAAAGCCUUU